GACAGAGGGUGCAAACGUUGUUCGGAAUUACUGGGCGUAAAGCGCGUGUAGGCGGCCCUGCAAGUCGGAUGUGAAAUCCCACGGCUCAACCGUGGAAGUGCAUUCGAAACUGCAGGGCUGGAGUCCUGGAGAGGAAGGUGGAAUGCUUGGUGUAGAGGUGAAAUUCGUAGAUAUCAAGCGGAACACCGGUGGCGAAGGCGGCCUUCUGGACAGUGACUGACGCUGAGACGCGAAAGCGUGGGGAGCAAACAGG
rnacentral:rRNA from 1 species